rnacentral:rRNA from 1 species
CCUACGGGCGGCAGCAGUGGGGAAUAUUGCACAAUGGGCGAAACCCUGAUGCAGCGACGCCGCGUGAGUGAAGAAGUUAUUCGUUAUGUAAAGCUCUAUCAGCAGGGAAGAAAAUGACGGUACCUGAGUAAGAAUCCCCGGCUAACUACGUGACAGCACCCGCGGUAAUACGUAGGGGGCACGCGUUAUCCGGAUUUACUGGGUGUAAAGGGAGCGUAGACGGCAGUGCAAGUCUGGAGCGAAAGGCGGGGGGUCAACCCCCGGACUGCUCUGGAAACUGGACGGCUGGAGUGCAGGAGAGGUAAGUGGAAUUCCUAGUGGAGCGGUGAAAUGCGUAGAUAUUAGGAGGAACACCAGUGGCGAAGGCGGCUUACUGG